UACGGGGGGGGGCAAGCGUUGUUCGGAAUUACUGGGCGUAAAGGGCUCGUAGGCGGCCAACUAAGUCAGACGUGAAAUCCCUCGGCUUAACCGGGGAACUGCGUCUGAUACUGGAUGGCUUGAGUUUGGGAGAGGGAUGCGGAAUUCCAGGUGUAGCGGUGAAAUGCGUAGAGAUCGGGAGGAACACCCGUGGCGAAGGCGGCCACCUGGGCCGAGAUUGACGCUGAGGCGCGAAAGCCAGGGGAGCAAACGGGG
rnacentral:rRNA from 1 species